rnacentral:rRNA from 1 species
ACAUCCAGCGAACUUGGCAGAGAUGCCUUGGUGCCUUCGGGAACGCUGAGACAGGUGCUGCAUGGCUGUCGUCAGCUCGUGUUGUGAAAUGUUGGGUUAAGUCCCGNAACGAGCGCAACCCUUAUCCUUUGUUGCCAGCGAUUCGGUCGGGAACUCAAAGGAGACUGCCGGUGAUAAACCGGAGGAAGGUGGGGAUGACGUCAAGUCAUCAUGGCCCUUACGAGUAGGGCUACACACGUGCUACAAUGGCGCAUACAAAGAGAAGCGACCUCGCGAGAGCAAGCGGGACCUCAUAAAGUGCGUCGUAGUCCGGAUCGGAGUCUGCAACUCGACUCCGUGAAGUCGGAAUCGCUAGUAAUCGUGGAUCAGAAUGCCACGGUGAAUACGUUCCCGGGCCUUGUACACACCGCCCGUCACACCAUGGGAGUGGGUUGCAAAAGAAGUAGGUAGCUUAACCCUCGGGAGGGCGCUUACCACUUUGUGAUUCAUGACUGGGGUGAAGUCGUAACAAGGUAGGCGUAGCGAG